UGAAUACGAGACGCUAAGGCGUCGAAGUAGUGUAUGUCAUACUUCCAAUAAAAGCUUGCACUGUCAUAGAUAAAAAACGCCUGUACCAUAACCGACACAGGUGGGUAGGUAGAGUAUACUAAGGGGCGCGAGAUAACUCUCUCUAAGGAACUCGGCAAAAUAACUCCGUAACUUCGGGAGAAGGAGUGCCUUAUUCGUAAGGUUGCAAUAACAAGAUCCAAGCAACUGUUUAUCAAAAACACAGGUCUCCGCUAAGUCGUAAGACGAUGUAUGGGGGCUGACGCCUGCCCAGUGCCAGAAGGUUAAAGAAGUUGGUUAGCAAUUGCGAAGCUGAUAACUGAAGCCCUGGUGAACGGCGGCCGUAACAAUAACGGUCCUAAGGUAACGAAAUUCCUUGUCGGGUAAGUUCCGACCCGCACGAAAGGCGUAAUGAUUUGGAUACUGUCUCGGAGAGGGGCUCGGUGAAAUAGACUUGUCUGUGAAGAUGCGGACUACCUGCACCAGGACAGAAAGACCCUAUGAAGCUUUACUGUAACUUGAAAUUGAAAUUGGACUUUAUUCGCGCAGUAUAGGUGGUAGGCGUUGAUUAUAAUCUUGUGGGAUUAUUGGAGCCAUCAGUGAGAUACCACUCUUGUAAUGUUAGAUUUCUAACUUUGAAUCAUUAUCUGGUCAAAGAACAGUUUCAGGCGGGCAGUUUGACUGGGGCGGUCGCCUCCUAAACGGUAACGGAGCCGUACAAAGGUUUCCUCUGAACGGUUAGAAAUCGUAUCUAGAGUGUAAAGGCAUAAGGAAGCUUGACUGUGAGACCUACAAGUCGAGCAGGGACGAAAGUCGGUCUUAGUGAUCUGACGGUACUGAGUGGAAAGGCCGUCACUCAACGGAUAAAAGUUACUCUAAGGAUAACAGGCUGAUCUCCCCCAAGAGUUCACAUCGACGGGGAGGUUUGGCACCUCGAUGUCGGCUCAUCGCAUCCUGGGGCGGUAGUACGUCCCAAGGGUUGGGCUGUUCGCCCAUGAAAGCGGUACGCGAGCUGGGUUCAGAACGUCGUGAGACAGUUCGGUCCAUAUCCGGUGUAGGCGUUAGAAUAUUGGGAGGAGCCUUCUUUAGUACGAGAGGACCGAGAAGGACAUACCUCUGGUGUACCAGUUAUCGUGCCAACGGUAAACGCUGGGUAGCUAUGUAUGGAGUGGAUAACCGCUGAAAGCAUCUAAGUGGGAAGCCCACCUCAAGGUAAGUAUUCCC
rnacentral:rRNA from 1 species